rnacentral:lncRNA from 1 species
UUGCAUUGGGUUUUUUGGGCCCUAAACACAUUCUAGGUCACUAGAUAUCCAUAUUUGCCUCAAAUCCAAUGUUCGUAAAAUCGAACCGGAACAGUUAACCGGACAUGGGCCUGGACACGAUUUAACUGGCCUAAUCAAUAAACCGGCCGAUUCAACCGCUCUAAUCGGGCAAGUCCCGGGCGGUCAAAAAAGUGUCGAAAAAAUUUAAAAAACAUACAAAAAAAAAUCUACUAAAAUAUGAAAGGCAUAUAAAGAAUGAUUAAAACAAAA